GGGGCCAUGGUUCAGUGGCAGAGCAGAAGAUUCCAGGUUCAAUCCCUGGUGGCAUCU
rnacentral:tRNA from 1 species